AGGCAAGAGACUAAACAUCUGCAUAAUUAGGAAAGUAGGUAGAAAGCUCCACCCAUUCAUCUUCCUCAAAAGAUUUGCUCUACUGUUAACUUGGUUUUGCAAAAUCCUCCUCUGCUUCGAUGCUCAUCCUCAACUAUCUGCUCAAAGCUCCAUCUCUAAGGUUUCCAAGUCUUAAUAGUUAGAGCUACAUAUCGGAAUUGGUGGAUCUAUUGUUUGGAUACUCCUACCAUUAGCACCCCAAGGUCUCACUGGGUGUAGGUGUUUGCAUCCAAUGGAAUCACUCCGAACAGUAGCAAACUUUGUAAACAUGGUCAAUGUUCUACGUCUCGAUUCAAACCAUCUGCAACAUUUUCCAGAUUUACUAACAGAAACACUGAGAUCACCAACUAACGGAUGUAAAUGCCCAUAAACAGGAACUUCCAACAUCUAUAGUAAGUUACCCUACUGUUACUGUUUUGCAUAACCCGUUACAAAAAUAUUGUUGUAUCUUCCUUGAAUUCUGAUAUCAUGAUUCUUGAUUGGAUCUUCUGAUGUGUGGUGUUCCUUCUUUAUCUAAAUUUAGUAUCCUUCUUUCUGUUGUUGGAAUUUCACCAAAGUAAUUAAAUUGAAAAUCACCUGCAAAAUCAAAAACUAGGUUAGUAAAAAAAUCAGCGAGAGCUCUUAUGGAGUUGACCUCCAUUGUCACACUCCAUGGGACCUCCCAGUUCCCCUGAAGAAUUUGCACCAUAAUCCAAGAAUCUGAUUCUAUAAUGAUAUGUUGGAUAACAUUGUCUUUACAGUAGAGUAAGCACUCUCUUAUUGCUGAAACUUCUGCUUUAAGGUUGGUAGUGUCCUUAAUUCUUGAGCCUUUUGCAACUACCAAGUCUCCUUCCCCAUUUCUAAUACAAAAAGCAAAAGAACUAGGUCCAGGGUUCCCUCUUGAGGCACCAUCAGUGUUACCUUUAAACCAAGGAUAUUGGGAGGGGGAACCCAUUUUACAAUUCUGGUUACAUAGGCAGUUCUAUUGUUCUGCAAAGCAUCAAUAAUAUCUAUCCAUCUUCUCCCCUGUAUAUUUAAAUUGAAUCUGGCCUUAACAAACAUCAAAAUAGUGUCAUUAACUUCCCAGUACACCUUCCUUUCGUGGUAUGAGCCACCAUGUAGGAUUGUAUUUCUUCUUUUCCACAAAAACCAGAGUAGGAUGAUAGGAAGUACCUUGAAAACUUCUCGUAGCUUACUAUUACCUUCAAUAUUUCUCCACAUUCUCACACUUUGCUUCAAGUUAAAUCUUUGAUCAAUAAUACCCGCUGCCCUACAGUAGUGAGUCCACACUCUAUCUGCCACCUCUCCUUUGAGAAAUAAAUGUUCUAUUGUUUUUCUAUCUGGAUUAGCACAACAUCCACAAUCUUCAGAGAUAUUAGGAUUCCACAAAUGCAAAAGAGUUGAUACAGGAACCUUACCCAACCAGAUUCUCCAAGAAAGAAAAGAGAAUUUGAAGGUUAAUCUUUUACUCCAUAUUGCCUUUAGAUCUUCAUUUACAUCUGCUCUUUGCCUCAAAAUUUCCCAAGCACUCUUAGUAGUGAAUUUGCCAGUACUAUUUUAAGGCCACCAUGGCUUGUCCAUUACAUUCUCAAAUUGAGCAAAUCCCAUAGUAUCUCGAACAUGUUCAAUGACAUGUUCUGGGAUUACAUCUUUCAUUGCACCAUAAUCCCAACCAUCAUCUUUAAAGAAAUCACCAACAUCAUUUAUAGGGUGGCAAGAUUGUACCUCUGUUGAAUGAAGAAAUAUAGGACCAGAAUUGGUCCAGUUAUCAAACCAAACUGUUGAGGUUCCACUUCUUGGUUCCCACCACAAAAAAGACUCAAUUUUUUCCCUGUUCUCCAACAUUGCUUUCCACACUUGAGAUCCACCUUUCCAUCAUACCAAUGUAGGAGUCUGUUUCUUGCAGUAUUUAUUUCAUAAAUAAUUAGACCACAAAUUAGUUUGUGUCCUGAACCUCCAUUACAACUUAGCGUACAUUGCUUGAGAAACAUCUUUUAAGGAUCUGAACCCUAAACCCCCUUCAUCCUUUGGCAAAAAAACAAUAUUCCAUGCACACCAGUGUUUGAUCCUUCCUGUCUCUUUGGAAUGCCAAAAGAAUUUUGCAAAUAUUCUUUGUAAUUCUUUAAAAAUACUUUUAGGAGGAACAAUAGCUGAAACAACAUAAAUUGGAAUGCUCUGUAGAACAUUUUUUUAGUAAAACCUCCUUUCCUCCAUAUGAUAAAAGCCUACCCUUCCAAGCUUGGAGUUUAGUCCUUACUCUGUCCAACAAAUCAUCAUAGUGCUCAUUCUUUUUCUUUGAAUGUGUAAUGGGACAUCCUAGGUACUUAAGAGGAAAAGAUCAUUUGGCCAUUCCUGUAUCCAAUUCCAUCUGCUGCACAACCUCCAUAGGAGAAUUUUGAUGCAUAUAGAAGAGACUCUUAUCCUUAUUCACCUUUUGCCCUGAUUCCUGCUCAUACUCCUGCAAAAUCAUCAUAAUCUUUCCAAUAGAGUGCUUAUUAGAUGAGGCAAAAAUGAUAGUGUCAUCUGCAUAUGCUAAGUGAUUAAGGUUUGAGCUCCACUUAGGCAUACCAUAACCCAUAAAGGCAUUAUCUUCAAAAAAAUGAUUAAGAGCUCUGGUUAGAACUUCAGCAGAUAAGAUAAAUAAAGCAGGGAAAGGGGAUCCCCUUGUUUAACCCCCCUAGUAGAAUGAAAAAAACCAACGGAUUGGCCAUUUAACAGAAUAAAGUAGUAAUUAUUAGAUAUCAAUCUCCAAAUCACAUCUACUACCCCAUUACAGAAACCCAUCUUUCUAAGAAUCUUCAUUAAA